rnacentral:rRNA from 1 species
CACGGGGGGAGCAAGCGUUGUUCGGAAUCACUGGGCGUAAAGGGCGUGUAGGCGGAUAGGUAAGUGGGAUGUGAAAUCCCUCGGCUCACCCGAGGACCUGCAUCCCAAACUGCCAGUCUUGAGUAUGGGAGAGGAUGAGGGAAUUCCCGGUGUAGAGGUGAAAUUCGUAGAUAUCGGGAGGAACACCUGUGGCGAAGGCGGCCAUCUGGACAUUGACUGACACUGAGACGCGAAAGCGUGGGUAGCAAACAGG